rnacentral:rRNA from 1 species
AUUGAACGCUGGCGGCAGGCCUAACACAUGCAAGUCGAGCGGAUGAAGGGAGCUUGCUCCUGGAUUCAGCGGCGGACGGGUGAGUAAUGCCUAUGAAUCUGCCUGGUAGUGGGGGAUAACGUCCGGAAACGGGCGCUAAUACCGCAUACGUCCUGAGGGCGAAAGUGGGGGAUCUUCGGACCUCACGCUAUCAGAUGAGCCUAGGUCGGAUUAGCUAGUUGGUGGGGUAACGGCCUACCAAGGCGACGAUCCGUAACUGGUCUGAGAGGAUGAUCAGUCACACGGGAACUGAGACACGGUCCCGACUCUGAGGGGGGGCAGCGGUGGGGAAUAUUGGACAAUGGGGGAAAGCCUGAUCCAGCCAUGCCGCGUGUAGGAAGAAGGUCUUCGGAUUGUAAAGCACUUUAAGUUGGGAGGAAGUGCAGUAAGUUAAUACCGUGCUGUUUUGACGUUACCAACAGAAUAAGCACCGGCUAACUUCGUG